rnacentral:rRNA from 1 species
UACGUAGGUCCCGAGCGUUGUCCGGAUUUAUUGGGCGUAAAGCGAGCGCAGGUGGUUUAUUAAGUCUGGUGUAAAAGGCAGUGGCUCAACCAUUGUAUGCAUUGGAAACUGGUAGACUUGAGUGCAGGAGAGGAGAGUGGAAUUCCAUGUGUAGCGGUGAAAUGCGUAGAUAUAUGGAGGAACACCGGUGGCGAAGGCGGCUGUCUGGUCUGCAACUGACGCUGAGGCUCGAAAGCAUGGGUAGCGAACAGG